rnacentral:lncRNA from 1 species
ACCAGAUAGACAUUUUCACCUUUCAAUCAUUCAAUACCCCAAAUAUAGUUGACCAAUUCCUUAAAGUAUCUGAUAAAAGGACAAAACAAUGAGUACUUAACAUUGACCAAUGAAAAAAGGAAAUUGAGGUUAAGUUCAGAUGAAACUUGCCAGUUGGACAUGUACAUAUUGUCAUCAUUCAAUAAACAAAAUCGACUUGAGCACGAAAACUAAACACUGAUCACUCAUACAAUGAGUUCGAGGACAGAAAAGUCAUGUUUGAUGGAUAUGAACCAUGAAUAAAAGAGGUCAAUGACAAUCGAGAUAAGACGGAUGGAAACUUUAAACAAAAGGCAUUUAACAUCCAGGUCUUCUUCC